AGGUUCCUACUAAGUGAGUGUUAAGUCCUGAGUGUUAAUGCUACAAGUGCCUAUGUGAAUAUAAGGGAUAAAAAAUAUAGGCAAGAAUUUCCAUUAUAAGUGGAAAAGUUAAUAGAGGUUUGAAUGAAGUUUAUUCACUCAAACUGAGAAUGGAAGUUUCUAGCCUUUCAACAAGAACCUUUAUCCUCAGUCUAAGAUAGGACUGUCUGUGGAGACCCUGGAAUAUAUUCAAGAUAUAUUUGUGAAUUGAUGACUAUGUUUUUAUAUAUGUUCAGAAUGUCCACCAGCUUUCUAAAGGGGAUCCCUUAAGCAGUGCUGAAAUACUGUCAUGCAAAAGUUAGUUACAAAAGCAGAGCCUCAUAAACCAAAGUGUCUAUAUGUGAAACCAGCCCAAACUGUAUAAUCCAGGUAUAGCUAUUAACCAAUUAAUUGUGAGAUACCCAAGACUCUUUUAGCCAACCGACUUUCAGCUUCAUAUUACUAAUUAAUUGUUAACAGCGUAUUGUUUAUUGGAGAACAACAUCUAAGCAGAAUAUCUUGCAUUUUUGUGUUGCUUUCGAUAACAAUUGCUAUCUCUAUUUUGAUGAAUUUAGGAGCUUUUUCUAACGUAAAUAUCACAUUCAUUAACUAGCUAGGCAAGGAAUGUUUCCUGACAAUAGGAAAAGACAAAUUAUCAGUGUGGCAUGAUGAUGCAUUCCUGUAAUCCCACGUGGGUAACUGAGGCCAGAGAAUCAUAACUUUGAGAAGAACUUAGGAAGCAUGCAAAGACCAUAUCUUAAAAUUAUUCCCUGCACACAAUGACAAUAUAGUUGGAAAGAACAAAGCGAUUUAAACAAGAAUAAGGAUAUCUAUGUUUUCUCAAUAUUUCUUGAGGGCAAUUCCAAAUCAAUACAAGGAAUCUCACUAACUCUUCCUUCUAAGCACACAGGGAAGGACAGCUCUGUCCUCUCCUGCCCUUCUUAGGCCUCAUGCCCCUAUUUACUGUUUACUUAGCUUAUGAAGAAGGCCAUGGAUACUAUAUUUAGUCACAAAUUAAACAUAGUCCAGGAACAAUGACAACGUACCGAUAAGCUGAAGGUAAAACUUGGGAAUCCUGGCUCAAAAAAUUAAAGCUUAUUUCCCAUCUUGUUAAGCCCACUGCUGUUUUAUGAGUACACCUUAGUCUCUGUCAACACAUUUCACACUGUUGUUUCAAAGAACAGGAAAAAAGGGGGAGGAAAAUGAUAUAAUGCUACAUUGGAGCCCUUUAAAAUGCACCAAAUUUCUCAGCUCACUGCAAUGACAUUUUUCAAGUCAUCUCCAAACCUUGGAGUACCCCACUACUAAGCCUCAAGUUUCACCCUGAAGGGGAUAAGAAUGCUCAGGAAGAGUAACAGAGUCAACUAACAUGAACCCUUGGAGCUCUCAGGGCCUGAACUACCAAUCCAAGAAUAUACAUGGGCUGGACCUAGGUCUCCCUGCACAUAUGUAGCAGAUAUGAGGUUUGGUGUUCAUGUAGGUCCUGAACAACUGGAACCAAGCCUGGAACUGAAUCCCAAAAAUGUUGCUUGUAUGUAGAAUAUGUGCUACUAGCUGGGCUGCCACCUGGCUUCAGUGGGAGAGGAAAUUCCUAGCCUCAGAGAGAAUUGAAGUGCCAGUAUCGGGGUGAUACCCAUAGAAGACCCAACCCAUAAGAAGGGGGAGGGGGUAAGGAUUGUGGGAGGGUGUGACAGGGAGGAGGCAGUGAGCUGGAUGGAAAGUGAAUGAGC
rnacentral:lncRNA from 1 species